rnacentral:rRNA from 1 species
CACGUAGGCACCAAGCGUUGUCCGGAUUUAUUGGGCGUAAAGAGCUCGUAGGCGGUUCAGUAAGUCGGGUGUGAAAACUCUGGGCUCAACCCAGAGACGCCACCCGAUACUGCUGUGACUUGAGUACGGUAGGGGAGUGGGGAAUUCCUGGUGUAGCGGUGAAAUGCGCAGAUAUCAGGAGGAACACCAGUGGCGAAGGCGCCACUCUGGGCCGUAACUGACGCUGAGGAGCGAAAGCGUGGGUAACAAACAGG